GUGCCAGCAGCCGCGGUAAUACGAAGGGAGCUAGCGUUACUCGGAAUUAUUGGGCGUAAAGCGUGCGUAGGCGGCUCUGUAAGUCAGAAGUGAAAGCCUGAGGCUCAACCUCAGAAUUGCUUUUGAAACUACAGAGCUAGAGUAUCAGAGGGGAUAGCGGAAUUCCUAGUGUAGAAGUGAAAUUCGUAGAUAUUAGGAGGAACACCGGUGGCGAAGGCGGCUAUCUGGCUGAAUACUGACGCUGUUGCACGAAAGCGUGGGGAGCAAACAGGAUUAGAUACCCUGGUAGUCC
rnacentral:rRNA from 1 species